rnacentral:rRNA from 1 species
CUUAUACAUGCAGUCGAGGGGCAGCACGGGUAGCAAUACUUGUGCCUAGACCGGCAACGGGUGAGGAACACGUACACAACCUUCCUUUUAGUGGAGCAUAACCCAGGAAACUUGGACUAAUACUCCGUAAUAUGUUUGAGAGGCAUCUUUUGGACAUUAUAGUGGCAACACGCUAGAAGACGGGUGUGCGUAUGAUUAGGUAGUUGGCGGGGUAACGGCCCACCAAGCCUACGAUCAUUAACUGGUGUGAGAGCAUGACCAGUCACACGGGCACUGAGACACGGGCCCGACUCCUACGGGAGGCAGCAGUAAGGAAUAUUGGUCAAUGGACGCAAGUCUGAACCAGCCAUGCCGCGUGGAGGAUGAAGGUCCUCUGGAUUGUAAACUUCUUUUAUAUGGGGCGAAAAAAGGCUUUUCUAAGUCGUCUGACGGUACCAUAUGAAUAAGCACCGGCUAACUCCGUGCCAGCAGCCGCGGUAAUACGGAGGGUGCAAGCGUUAUCCGGAUUCACUGGGUUUAAAGGGAGCGUAGGUGGGCUGAUAAGUCAGUGGUGAAAUCUCCGAGCUUAACUUGGAAACUGCCAUUGAUACUAUUAGUCUUGAAUAUUGUGGAGGUUACCGGAAUAUGUCAUGUACCCGGUGAAAUGCUUAGAUAUGACAGUGGAACACCAAUUGCGAAGGCAGCUGGCUUACACAUAUAUUGACACUGAUGCUCGAAAGCGUGGGGAUCAAACAGGAUUAGAUACCCUGGUAGUCCACGCCCUAAACUAUGGAUACUCGACAUACGCGAUACACAGUGUGUGUCUGAGCGAAAGCAUUAAGUAUCCCACCCGGGAAGUACGACCGCAAGUUGAAACUCAAAGGAAUUGCGGGGGUCCGCACAACCGUGGAGCAUGUGUUUAAUUCGAUGAUACGCGAGGAACCUUACCUGGGCUAGAAUGCGAGUCCCGUACCGUGAAACGGUAUUUCUAGCAAUAGACACAAAGCAAGGUGCUGCAUGCUGUCGUCAGCUCGUGCCGUGAGUUUGGUUAAGUCCCGCAACGAGCGCAACCCCCAUCACUAGUUGCCAUCAGGUAACGCUGGGAACUCUAGUGAAACUGCCGUCGUAAGACGUGAGGAAGGAGGGGAUGAUGUCAAGUCAUCAUGGCCUUUAUGCCCAGGGCUACACACGUGCUACAAUGGGAAGGACAAAGAGCUGCGACACAGUGAUGUGAAGCUAAUCUCAAAAACCUUCUCUCAGUUCGGAUCGCAGUCUGCAACUCGACUGCGUGAAGCUGGAAUCGCUAGUAAUCGUAUAUCAGCAAUGAUACGGUGAAUACGUUCCCGGACCUUGCACACACCGCCCGUCAAGCCAUGAAAGCCGGGUGUACCUAAAGUCGUAACCGUAAGGAG